ensembl:lncRNA
AUUCAGUCUCAGUGAACACUGUUAACCUUUAACUCUCAAUCAAAUCAAACUAACAUUGUGUUUCUUGUUCACAGACCCUCCCACUUCCCCGGCGAGCAGUCUCUGGCCCACUCAGUUAUAUCAGCUAACCUCGCACUUUGCUUUGUAUUUCUCUCUACAUUUUUCCUUGUUGUGCCAGUGUGACAGAAGAAGAUGCAAGGCUGUUCCCGUCGGCACUGUGGAUAAAACAGUUGACUCUGCGCUUGUGAGCACAGUCAGCGUGCUGGCUGAAAUCAAGACCGCUUCCCUUGCAUGACUGUGAGUGGAAGGAUAAGCUUUUCCUUGGGAGACACAGAGGUGCUCCCAAGCCAGCAAAAUCUCUCACUUGGGCAGCACAGUGGUGCAGUGGUUAGCGCUGUCUCCUCACAGCAAGGUUAGUGAUUUGAAUCUCUUAUGACAUGCAUGUUAGGUUAAAUGGUGAUUCUAAAUUGGACAUCGAUGCGAGGGAAACAAAAUAAUGUAUGACUGUAUCGUGAAAAUGUGACUUGUAGUCUAAAGUGAGUCAGUCUGGUCAAUAAAACUAGUAAAGUGUAAAGUAAAU